UUGAAUUAAAAUUAAAAAAUUAAAACAAAAUAUUUUUUUCUUGAAAGUUUGGGCCAAAAAUGUGGGUAUGCAUUAUACAUGGGAGCACAAUAUACAUGGCAAAAUGUGGUAGUAUGUAGCAUCCCAGAUUUACUUUGUUAUGUGUAUCUCUGUUUUAGGCUCCUCAUAUUAACCUUUGGGGGAGAGGUUUAUCUUUACAGGAAAAGUCUGGGCAUUUCUGUUAUAGAUAAUAUCUAAGAAUCAUUCUUUAUUCUAACAAUGUAUAAUUUUUUGUAAUGCUCUUUUCUUUCUUAUUACCUCCCCUUAUUUUGUAAUCUACCUGGGGCUUUCUACAACCUGAGAAAGAGGAGGAAAUUGAGACACAGAGAGGCUGAGUUUGUUGCCUAGGAUACACAGCAUUUGAAUAUAGGAAGUCUGGAUCUGGAGCCCACAUUUUAAGUAUGAGGAUAUUUUGCUUUAAUUGGUCAAUUACUUAGUUAAUUCCUGGACUAAUUCAACGAAAACUAGUGAAACACCCACUAUGUAUUACUUAAUAUGUCAGAAUUUAGUAUAUUUGAAUAUAGCUGUCAGUGCUUUGAUCUUCAUGGCCAUCAGCCAGAAGGUAGUUGUUGAGAACCCACUACAUCUCCAGGGUUGUGCUCACACAGAUACAAGAGAAAUAAAUACAAGGUGUGAGCCUGCUGCUGAGAAAUGUGCAGACAUAUAGACUAGGUACUGACAAACUUUUCUCUGUGAAGGGCCAGGUAGUAGAUGUUAUCGGUAAUGAAGGUCACAUGGUCUGUGUCCCAAUAUGUGUGAAGCAGCUUUAGCCACUAUGUCAAUGAAUGAGCAUGUCUGUAUUCUAAUAAAACUACAAAAGUAAGCUGCAGGCCAUAAUUGGCUCAUGGGCUUCCUGGCACUGAGGUUAAGUGAGCCCUAAGAGAACCACAUAGAGCAGUAAGUAGUGAUAGUGCGACCAAAGGCAGAGCUGUGUGGGACUGCCUGUUCUAGCAUGUGAGGUACACAGAUGAAAUAAAGUGUCCAGGAUCAAAGAGAGCAGUGCAUAUUUUAGUGGAUAUGCAGGUAGUUUCAGAGACGGAGCAUGGUUCUGCCCUCACCUAGAGGAUGGAAAGAAUGUGAUGCACAGCUGUGAAGUUGUAGAGUGAGUGUCAUGAACCAUGUCAUGGUUCUUAUCACUAUGUGUAGCAGCAACUUGGCCAUCUUCCUUUCUUUGUUCCUUCCUAACCUGCUAAGAGAACCCCAGAUUUGUUUGGUAUCUUUACACAUUCAGCUUCAAGCAAUGACACGUAAUUGAUUCAAGUGAAUUGUAAUAAUUGUAAUCUCUAACUUCCCAGUGGCAUGACCCAAUUCAGAUCAAUUAAAUAUAGAGGUGCCCCGCUGGGUGAAGUGGGGUGGAACAUUUGGGAAACCUUUUGUUCUCAUCAAAGGGACAAAGCUAGUGCCACAUACCCCUCCUGCUUUCCAUUCACAACGUGAGCAUGAAGACAAGCUGGGACGGCCACCUUGGGGUCCUAGCUUGUGAUGUGGAUGGGAACCGGGAGAGAGAAGGAGCCACAGGGCUGCUGCCUACUUGCCGGGCUGCCUGCCUCUGGCUUCCUUGGUAUUCACCAAGAUAUUUUAUUUUAGGAGUAAUUCAUCCUAAUUGCAGAAAUGAGGUCUAAAGUUGCACUUCCCAGAAAGUGUGGGUGUCUGGGAGGCAGGGACGUGGUCAGUACUGGAACAGAGCACACUCUAGGAGUGAAGUGGUAUCAGCUGAAAAAUUGAAGAGAAGAAAUGGGCGAAGGAUGUGUUAUUCUACACUUACGUGGUUCAAUUAAGAGCAGCAAACUUAACAUGAUCAGAAAAUGAGUCAUCAUUAAUACUGUCCUGCAGGCUCUGGGUAAGACUUGCAUCGUGGCCAUUGUUAUGAAGCUCAGCUACAGCCUUUGAGAUAGUCAUUGGAAACUAGUGUUCAUGGGUGGCCAGAGGGCUGCGGAAGCCUUGUUUGUGAUAUAACUAGCAAAAUGUGAAUAAUAUCGGGAAACUGCAGAGACAAGAACAUCUAUGUUGUAUCAAUAUGGAUAUAUUCCAAAGAGUUUUAGCAUUGUGAACCAUGACAGCAUUACUAAUUUUUUCUCUCAUGGGAAAAAUAAGAAUUUUUACUCUCAAAUUAGGUCAGGAAAUGGCAACAAUUUUUGAAAUGUCAGGGGUAAAAAUAAGAAGUGGAGAAUUAGUCCCGUUAGCACAAAAUAAAGAAAGCACCCUGGCUAUCAAAAGCUAAUGACAACAGGGUUACCAGACCUGAGGGGGAGAGGCGGAGCCUGGACACUGAGAAUCUCUCCCUGCCUCAAGUGGAUAACAAAUAAGUUUAUCUUCUCUGUUUAUGAUUUUGAAUCUUCAUCAAUAAAUCACUGUAUGUCACAUCGGCCCAUGUAUUCUUAAUGCAUUUUAAAUCAAACCGUUUAUAUAGACAGAGGCUCUGCACGGAAACAUUUGCUCAGGACCCCAUACAGUCAGAGGUUGCUCUGACCUGAGAGCCAGAUUAACUUUGGAAUGUGUGUGGCAGUCCAUCGGUAAAUGCUGAAAGAUUGUCUAAUGAUGUGACAGCCAGCUUUUAUUUCAGAAUUAUAAUGUGCAAAGAGACCAUGUCGGAUGAUUUAGUGUGUGGGAAAGGAGAGCUCAUAGGUCUGGGAAGGCUGGGAGACCAAUGACAUUGUCCACACGGGGGCUGACUCACAGAGUGAGUGGAGGGGCUCUGUUUGAAGCCUCUGUGAGGUUUCAAACAGAGGAAAUGAGCAUGCUUAUGUAAUUAACAGAAUUAGUGGCAUUGGAAGCAGAAACAUUUUUUUAAGGAAAAGAAGAUGCAUUUAGAAUGUUAUGCUUUGGGACUUCAGUAAUUUAAUUUGAAUUUUAAGAAUGAUGACACUAAUAGAAAAUCUAAAUGAUCCUUGCACUGAAAUGCAAAGGUCUUUAGGCUGCUAUUUCUCAGAAAUGUUCCUUCAAUCUCUGGUUAAUCAGAAAGCUUGUGUAGACAUUCAGCAGAGUUCUGUCAACCUCCCUUUAUCUAGGCACUUCCAAAUCAGUUAAAUCAGUUUUCCAAAACAAAUUGGAGAGAAAAGGUCUGACUUUUCUGUAUUUAGAGUUACUUCCAUCCUCCUCUAUCUACAGCACAACUUUGACAUCCAACAGGAGACUCUUGGAGAAAGAAAUCCAGGCAGUUUGGAUGUUUUUGGCUUGUUUCUGCUGAGGGAUAUAAAAUUCAGACCACGUCACCACAUGAUUAUUCAGAAAACACCCCUUUACUCUUGUGCUCCCUGCAAAGGGAACCAGGCCCAAUCAGCGUUCACAUGUGGAUGAAGGAGCAUUGACAAGAGUGAAAGAAAGGUGUCUUGGGCUCCGUGUGUG